CAGCACUAAGUGGGUGGUAAACUCCAUCUAAAACUAAAUAUAACCAUGAGACCGAUAGCAAACAAGUACCGUGAGGGAAAGUUGAAAAGAACUCUGAAUAGAGAGUUAAAUAGUACGUGAAACUGCUUAGAGGUUAAGCCCGAUGAACCUGAAUAUCCGUUGUAGAAAAUUCAUCAUCAAUUGUGUGGUAUUUUUUAAAUAUCAUAUGAAUGGUGUGCACUUUUUCUACUUAAGGACAUUGUAAUCUGUUAAUGUUUGAAUGCGUAUUAUAAGAACAUUUACAAUAGUUUUUACAUUAUUUAAUUUAUUAAAUAUGUUUAAAUGUAAAUGCUUCGAAUAUGCCAUUGACAGAUUUUUACAUAUAUUGCACUUAAAUCUUUUGAUUUUAUAAUAAUAUGGUUAUCAUUGAUUUCUGUAUUUAUUAUAUGUGCAUAUAUGAUUGACAAUGCGAAAGAUUCAGGAUACCUUCGGGACCC
rnacentral:rRNA from 1 species